UGAGUACGAGAUGCUACGGCAUCGAAGCAGUCUAUGUCAUACUUCCAAGAAAAGCUUGCAAUGUCAUAAACAAAUAAUGCCUGUACCAUAACCGACACAGGUGGGUAGGUAGAGUAUACUAAGGGGCGCGAGAUAACUCUCUCUAAGGAACUCGGCAAAAUGACUCCGUAACUUCGGGAGAAGGAGUGCCUUAUUUUUAUAAGGUUGCAAUAACAAGAUCCAAGCAACUGUUUACCAAAAACACAGGUCUCCGCUAAGUCGUAAGACGAUGUAUGGGGGCUGACGCCUGCCCAGUGCCAGAAGGUUAAAGAAGUUGGUUAGCAUUAGCGAAGCUGUUAACUGAAGCCCUGGUGAACGGCGGCCGUAACAUUAACGGUCCUAAGGUAGCGAAAUUCCUUGUCGGGUAAGUUCCGACCCGCACGAAAGGCGUAAUGAUUUGGAUACUGUCUCGGAGAGGGGCUCCGUGAAAUAGACUUGUCUGUGAAGAUGCGGACUACCUGCACCUGGACAGAAAGACCCUAUGAAGCUUUACUGUAACUUGAGAUUGAAAUUGGACUUUAUCUGCGCAGUAUAGGUGGGAGACGUUGAAAAUAUUCUUGCGGGAAUAUUGGAGUCAUCAGUGAGAUACCACUCUUAUAAUGUUAGAUUUCUAACUUUGUAUCAUUAUCUGGUCAAAGAACAGUUUCAGGCGGGCAGUUUGACUGGGGCGGUCGCCUCCCAAACGGUAACGGAGGCGCACAAAGGUUUCCUCUGAACGUGUAGAAAUCGUAUCUAGAGUGUAAAGGCAUAAGGAAGCUUGACUGUGAGACCUACAAGUCGAGCAGGGACGAAAGUCGGUCUUAGUGAUCUGACGGUGCUGAGUGGAAAGGCCGUCACUCAACGGAUAAAAGUUACUCUAGGAUAACAGGCUGAUCUCCCCCAAGAGUUCACAUCGACGGGGAGGUUUGGCACCUCGAUGUCGGCUCAUCGCAUCCUGGGGCGGUAGUACGUCCCAAGGGUUGGGCUGUUCGCCCAUGAAAGCGGUACGCGAGCUGGGUUCAGAACGUCGUGAGACAGUUCGGUCCAUAUCCGGUGUAGGCGUUAGAAUAUUGAGAGGAGCCUUCUUUAGUACGAGAGGACCGAGAAGGACAUACCUCUGGUGUACCAGUUAUCGUGCCAACGGUAAACGCUGGGUAGCCAUGUAUGGAGAGGAUAACCGCUGAAAGCAUCUAAGUGGGAAGCCCACCUCAAGAUAAG
rnacentral:rRNA from 1 species